rfam:Schistosoma mansoni strain Puerto Rico chromosome 3, complete genome
AUCUAACUGACGAGUCCAAUAUAGGACGGAAUUCGCGUCCCGGAU